rnacentral:rRNA from 1 species
UGUCUGGAAUCCUGAAGAGAUUUAGGAGUGCUCGCAAGAGAACCGGAACACAGGUGCUGCAUGGCUGUCGUCAGCUCGUGUCGUGAGAUGUUGGGUUAAGUCCCGCAACGAGCGCAACCCUUGUCAUUAGUUGCUACAUUUAGUUGAGCACUCUAAUGAGACUGCCGGUGACAAACCGGAGGAAGGUGGGGAUGACGUCAAGUCCUCAUGGCCCUUAUGGGUAGGGCUUCACACGUCAUACAAUGGUCGGGACAGAGGGUUGCCAAGCCGCAAGGUGGAGCUAAUCUCAUAAACCCGAUCGUAGUCCGGAUUGCAGGCUGCAACUCGCCUGCAUGAAGUCGGAAUCGCUAGUAAUCGCGGAUCAGCAUGUCGCGGUGAAUACGUUCCCGGGUCUUGUACACACCGCCCGUCACACCAUGGGAGUGGGUUUUACCAGAAGUAGUUAGCCUAACCGCAAGGGGGGCGAUUACCACGGUAGGAUUCAUGACUGGGGUGAAGUCGUAACAAGGUAGGCGUAGUGCU